rnacentral:rRNA from 1 species
AACGAACGCUGGCGGCAUGCCUAACACAUGCCAGUCGAACGAGACCUUCGGGUCUAGUGGCGCACGGGUGCGUAACGCGUGGGAACCUGCCCUUAGGUUCGGAAUAACUCCCCGAAAGGGGUGCUAAUACCGGAUAAUGUCUUCGGACCAAAGAUUUAUCGCCUUUGGAUGGGCCCGCGUUGGAUUAGCUAGUUGGUAGGGUAAAAGCCUACCAAGGCGACGAUCCAUAGCUGGUCUGAGAGGAUGAUCAGCCACACUGGGACUGAGACACGGCCCAGACUCCUACGGGAGGCAGCAGUGGGGAAUAUAGGACGAUGGGCGAAAGCCUGAUCCAGCAAGGCCGCGUGAGUGAUGAAGGCCUUAGGGUUGUAAAGCUCUUUUACCCGGGAUGAUAAUGACAGUACCGGGAGAAUAAGCGCCGGCUAACUCCGUG